UACGGGGGGAGCAAGCGUUGUUCGGAUUUACUGGGCGUAAAGGGCGCGUAGGCGGUCAGCAAAAGUCAGCUGUGAAAUCCCCGGGCUCAACCUGGGAACUGCAUUUGUGACUGCAUCGCUGGAGUGCGGCAGAGGGAGAUGGAAUUCCGCGUGUAGCAGUGAAAUGCGUAGAUAUGCGGAGGAACACCGAUGGCGAAGGCGACCCCCUGGGCCUGCACUGACGCUCAGGCACGAAAGCGUGGGGAGCAAACAGG
rnacentral:rRNA from 1 species